AGCAGGUGGGGCAACCGCUCAACAAGCCUUCGAUUCGUAGCUGUUCUGCGAGGACGACCAGUUACCACGGGACUGAGACAUGGUCCAGACUCCUACGGGAGGCAGCAGUGGGGAAUUUUGGACAAUGGGGGAAACCCUGAUCCAGCCAUCCCGCGCGUAUGAUGAAGGCCUUAGGGUUGUAAAGUACUUUUGGCAGAGAAGAAAAGGUAUCUCCUAAUACGAGAUACUGCUGACGGUAUCUGCAGAAUAAGCACCGGCUAAAUACGUGCCAGCAGCCGCGGUAAUACGUAGGGUGCAAGCGUUAAUCGGAAUUACUGGGCGUAAAGCGUGUGUAGGCGGUUCGGAAAGAAAGAUGUGAAAUCCCAGGGCUCAACCUUGGAACUGCAUUUUUAACUGCCGAGCUAGAGUAUGUCAGAGGGGGGUAGAAUUCCACGUGUAGCAGUGAAAUGCGUAGAUAUGUGGAGGAAUACCGAUGGCGAAGGCAGCCCCCUGGGAUAAUACUGACGCUCAGACACGAAAGCGUGGGGAGCAAACAGGAUUAGAUACCCUGGUAGUCCACGCCCUAAACGAUGUCAACUAGCUGUUGGGGCCGUUAGGCCUUAGUAGCCGCAGCUAACGCCAUUGAAAGUUGAACCGCCCGGGAGUACCGAAA
rnacentral:rRNA from 1 species